AAUUGCUAGUAAUCGCAGAUCAGCAUGCUGCGGUGAAUACGUUCCCGGGCCUUGUACACACCGCCCGUCACACCAUGAGAGUCGAUAACACCCGAAGCCUGUAGUCUAACCAUAAGGGGGACGCAGUCGAAGGUGGGAUUGAUAAUUAGGGUGAAGUCGUAACAAGGUACC
rnacentral:rRNA from 1 species